UUUGAGGUCUAUCCCGAUGGACCCCUCUCUGUAGGGUCAUAUCGUUGGAAACGCCUCGCAAAUCAUAUCUGUGGUCAUCGCUUUACCCUCAACGAUGCAUCAGUCGUCAUUGUGGGCAAUAAAACUACAGGACACAU